rnacentral:rRNA from 1 species
CGUGCCUAAAGGAUGGAGCCGCGGCCGAUCAGGUUGUUGGUGGGGUAAUGGCUCACCAAGCCUAUAACCGGUACGGGCCAUGAGAGUGGGAGCCCGGAGAUGGGCACUGAGACAAGGGCCCAGGCCCUACGGGGCGCAGCAGUUGCGAAACCUCCACAAUGCACGAAAGUGCGAUGGGGCUAACCCGAGUGCCGUCCGCUGAGGAGGGCUUUUCUCCGCUGUAAGGAGGCGGAGGAAUAAGGAGAGGGCAAGACUGGUGUCAGCCGCCGCGGUAAUACCAGCUCUCCGAGUGGUAGGGACGAUUAUUGGGCCUAAAGCGUUCGUAGCCGGCUUGGCAAGUCUCUCGUUAAAUCCAGUGACCUAAUCGCUGGGCUGCGGGAGAUACUGUCAGGCUUGGGAGCGGAAGAGGUCGACGGUAUUCUCGGGGUAGGGGUGAAAUCCUGUAAUCCCGGGAGGACCACCAGUGGCGAAGGCUGUCGACUAGAACGCGUCCGACGGUGAGGGACGAAAGCUGGGGGAGCGAACCGGAUUAGAUACCCGGGUAGUCCCAGCUGUAAACUAUGCGGGCUAGGUGUCAGUGUGGCUACGAGCCACUCUGGUGCCGCAGGGAAGCUCAUAAGCCCGCCGCCUGGGAAGUACG